AAUCCAUUGUGUGGGCACUUCUGAAUUAGCGCUUAAAACACUCCCAUGCUUCAUGAAAGCUUUCUCCUUCUAAUUGUUUGAACAUCAAAAUUUCCCUGCUUAGCU
rfam:Gossypium hirsutum cultivar TM-1 chromosome 6, whole genome shotgun sequence